GACGAACGCUGGCGGCGUGCUUAACACAUGCAAGUCGAACGGAAAGGCCCCUUUGGGGGUACUCGAGUGGCGAACGGGUGAGUAACACGUGAGUAACCUGCCCUUGACUUCGGGAUAACUUCAGGAAACUGGGGCUAAUACCGGAUAGGAAUCCUUGCUGCAUGGUGGGGGUUGGAAAGCUUCGGCGGUUUUGGAUGGACUCGCGGCUUAUCAGCUUGUUGGUGGGGUAGUGGCUUACCAAGGCUUUGACGGGUAGCCGGCCUGAGAGGGCGACCGGCCACAUUGGGACUGAGAUACGGCCCAUACUCCUACGGGAGGCAGCAGUGGGGAAUAUUGCACAAUGGGCGGAAGCCUGAUGCAGCAACGCCGCGUGCAGGAUGACGGCCUUCGGGUUGUAAACCGCUUUCAGCAGGGGCGAAGCUUGUGGUGACGGUACCUGCAGAAGAAGCACCGGCUAACUACGUG
rnacentral:rRNA from 1 species